AACCUGGUUGAUCCUGCCAGUAUUAUAUGCUCGUCUCAAGGACUAAGCCAUGCAAAUCUAAGAUCAGGCUUACUUUCAUUAUUGAAAGAAUAGCCAAUCUGUGGACUGCUCAUUAAAAUUGUUGUAAUCCUAGCCGCCGGAGAUCAUAAUAAAAGGAUAACACUGUUAAAUGCAGCGAUAAUACUUGAGGCUAUAUUUAAAAUGUCUGGCAAUCAUCUAUCUAUUAGUAAUUUUUAUUAGUAAUGGUUAACAUUUGAAUUGGAGAUGAUUGUAAGGUAUAGAUAUCCUUCUUGGGAUACUAUAUAAGCCAACCGUUGGAUUGUCGAAUUAUUUAAAAUAAAAAUAAUUUCCGGUGGUCCGGUAGAGGAGCUUCAAAUCUAUCAGCUCAAGUUGCCUGUGUAAAGAACAGGCAAGGCUAUAACGGAUAAGGGGAAUUAGUGUUUGAACCUGAGAGGGAGCCUGAGAAACUGCUACCACAUCUAAGGACGGCAGCAGGCGCGCAAAUUGCCCAAUAUCAACUAAAUAAGAGAUAGAUGAGGUAGUGACGAGUCUUAGUGACUUCACACUUUAAUAGUGGGAAGGUACUGUUUUUCAAUUAGAAAAUUGAAUGACAGUUUAUCAUGAUCUGGGUUUAAAACACCUGGAGAGCAGCAAUUGGAGCACCAGUCUGAUGCCAGCACGCGCGGUAACAUCAGCUCCAAUAGCGUAUAUUAAUACUGUUGCGGUUAAAAGAUCCGUAGUCGAUCAAAGGGUUAUUGUUAAUAAUAAAAUGAUAUGAUUUGUUUUAUAUUGAAUUUGAUUGAAUUAUCAAUUUGAAUAUUAUAAUUCAAUCAUUUGGAAUAUAAAACCCAUUCUAAAAAGAAUGGCGCCGAUAUCUUCUACUACAAAGUAGGGGAUAUUGGUACAUUCAUAUCACAAUGAACCCGAUCCUUAUUCAAAAUACAAUAUUAGUGUUUUGAAUGAGGCCUCCAAUAUUAAGGAGGAGCAACCAUGAAUAAAUCGUUGUGCUUAAAGCAGGCUAUGCAAAAUAAUUGCUUGAACGAUUGAGCAAUGGGAGUUGCAAAAGAAACUGUGUUGGAUUUAUGUCGUCACAUUGAUCCUUUUAAGUGAAGGACAAUGUGGAAAGACACAACAUGGUGUUUAGAAAGGGGUUUCGGGAGAGGUUCCAAUUAUCUCAAAGUUAGGGGUGAAAUCCAUUGAUCUUUGAGAGAAUGACUGAGGCGAAGGCAGUUGAAAACCACCACAAACCCGUCGAUGAGGGAUUAAAGUUAGGGGAUCGAAGAUGAUUAGAUACCGUCGUAGUCCUAACUGUAAAAGUUGUCAAUCAAAAAUGAGAUACUUCUUAUAAUAGAAAAUAAAAAAGUAUUUUGUUUUUAAGGAGAAAUCUUGGAAUUUAUAGAUUCCGGGGGGAGUAUAGUCGCAAGGCCGAAACUUAAAGGAAUUGACGGAAAGGCACCACCAGAAGUGGGUUUUGCGGUUCGAAUUGACUCAACACGAGAAAACUUACCAGGGCAAGACAGGUAGAUGAUUGACAGGUUGAUAGCCCUUUCUUGAUUACCUGGAAGGUGGUGCAUGGCCGUUUGCAGUUCGUGGAGUGAUCUGUCUGAUUAAUUUCGAUAACGAACGAGACCCAAACCUCUAACUAGUUGAUUUUCAUUUCAUCGUUCCAUUCAAGUCUCCUAUAUGGAGAUGGGAACUGUAUGAAAUAAAUCAAAUAAAUUAAACUUCUUAGAGGGACAACGUUUGCAAUUUGAAAACGAGGAAGAUUUGGACUAUAACAGGUCUGUGAUGCUCUUAGAUGUUCUGGGCGACACGCGUAACACAAUAUUGAUAUCAACGAGCUCUUUCAUCAUAUUUAUUAAUAAUAUGAUGCCUUUUCCUUUAAAUUUUAAUAAGAGGAAUGGGUAAACUAGAGAAAUAUCAAUAUGACUGGGAUAGAAGCUUGUAAGUAGUUUCUUGAACGAGGAAUUUCUAGUAAGCGUAAUUCAACAAAUUGCACUGAUUACGUCCCUGCCUUUUGUACACACCGCCCGUCGCUCCUACCAAUUGAAUGAAGAGAUGAAUUUGACGGACCUUGGUAUCAACUUGAAAGGGUUGAUCAAUGAUACCUUUCCUAUAAGGUAUUAACCGGGGAAAUCAAAUGAAUCCCUUUAUUCGUAGGAAGGAAAAGUCGUAACAAGGUAUUCGUAGGUGAACCUGCAGAAGGAUCA
rnacentral:rRNA from 1 species